AACUCCUGAGUAACCCAAGGUUAAGAACCAGUGGUUUAGCUGAUUUGCUCUGGUGUCUGAAGGGUGAGUGUGUGUGUGUGUGGGGGGGAAUGUAUUUUAACAUACUUUUUGAACCUUUCUAUUCCCUUCUCUUUUUUCCAGGUCAAGCCAUUCCUCAGCCUGCAGGACUCAUGAGUUAGACUUCAUGGCUGUCUCUGGAUCCCAAGCAGAGGAAAAGAAGCCUUUCUCUCUCUUUUCAGUCCCACCCACCCCCUCCUGCCUGCCACGGGGGACUCUCUUUCCUUACAGAGAAGACGCAGACUUUGAAAGAGGGCAGGAAAGGAAUGGAAGAAGAGAAGCAGAGACAUACUGACCCUUCCCCCUCCCACCCAACCUUUUCUUCCAAAGGAUCACCUCUUGCCUGCGUGACUGAGGGCAGCUCUGUUUUACUGUACGGCAGCCUCAAGCAUGAGUGACCUGGAAGAUGGUUGAUCAGCUGUUGGAAACUCAAGGUCAUGGCUUCCUUGAUGGAGUCUGUCUGUCUCACCUUCAGUCGUCCACUUCUCCUGCUACCUCCAACCUUUCCUACCAGGGAUGCUUGCACUGAGAAAGCAAAAUUGAAGGUCAUACUUCAUGGUAUUUUAUUUUAUUUUAUUUUUCUUCUGUCAGCAUCUGUUUUGUGGAUUACCAUUCAUCAGAGCCUGCACAUUUCUAAAAUCCCCUAGUAUGUUUUGUACGGAGGGCUAACCCCUUUUCUGACUUUUCCUGAUCUGCACUUUUAAAACAAUAAAUAUGCUUGUUUGUAAAGUCA